rnacentral:ncRNA from 1 species
GUCUCCAAGGUGAACAACCUCUAGUCAAUAGAACAAUGUAGGUAAGGGAAGUCGACAAAAUGAAUCUGUAACUUUGGGAAAAGGAUUGGCUCUGAGGGUUGGGCCUAGGGGUCUGCAUCCUCAACCCAUGGGCUGUCGGCAAUAUUAUUAGCCCUCGACCAAGUUUUGGAGAACCUUGGUCAUGUUUGACCAUUUUUGGGACUUCAACAGGUUGGUCGAAGACGAAGCACCCAGGUGAAGCGGAGAUCGCAGGAUCUCGCCCCCUUUUUGCAGGAUUUUUGGGUUUAGGGUUUAUGUAACAGGUAUGGGAUGU